GUAUAGGGUGUGACGCCUGCCCGGUGCUCGAAGGUUAAUUGAUGGGGUUAGCAUUAGCGAAGCUCUUGAUCGAAGCCCGAGUAAACGGCGGCCGUAACUAUAACGGUCCUAAGGUAGCGAAAUUCCUUGUCGGUUAAAUACCGACCUGCAUGAAUGGCGUAACGAGAUGGGAGCUGUCUCAAAGAGGGAUCCAGUGAAAUUGUAGUGGAGGUGAAAAUUCCUCCUACCCGCGGCAAGACGGAAAGACCCCGUGGACCUUUACUACAGCUUGACACUGCUACUUGGAUAAGAAUGUGCAGGAUAGGUGGGAGGCUUUGAGUAUAUGACGCCAGUUGUAUAUGAGCCAUUGUUGAGAUACCACUCUUUCUUAUUUGGGUAGCUAACCAGCUUGAGUUAUCCUCAAGUGGGACAAUGUCUGGUGGGUAGUUUGACUGGGGCGGUCGCCUCCCAAAUAAUAACGGAGGCUUACAAAGGUUGGCUCAGAACGGUUGGAAAUCGUUCGUAGAGUAUAAAGGUAUAAGCCAGCUUAACUGCAAGACAUACAAGUCAAGCAGAGACGAAAGUCGGUCUUAGUGAUCCGGUGGUUCUGUGUGGAAGGGCCAUCGCUCAAAGGAUAAAAGGUACCCCGGGGAUAACAGGCUGAUCUCCCCCAAGAGCUCACAUCGACGGGGAGGUUUGGCACCUCGAUGUCGGCUCAUCGCAUCCUGGGGCUGGAGCAGGUCCCAAGGGUAUGGCUGUUCGCCAUUUAAAGCGGUACGCGAGCUGGGUUCAGAACGUCGUGAGACAGUUCGGUCCCUAUCUGCCGUGGGCGUAAGAAGAUUGAAGAGAUUUGACCCUAGUACGAGAGGACCGGGUUGAACAAACCACUGGUGUAGCUGUUGUUCUGCCAAGAGCAUCGCAGCGUAGCUAAGUUUGGAAAGGAUAAACGCUGAAAGCAUCUAAGCGUGAAGCCAACUCUAAGAUGAAUCUUCUCUAAGCUCUCUAGAAGACUACUAGUUUGAUAGGCUGGGUGUGUAAUGGAUGAAAGUCCUUUAGCUGACCAGUACUAAUAGAGCGUUUGGCUUAUCUUUAAUAAAGCAU
rnacentral:rRNA from 1 species